GGCUCAGGAUGAACGCUGGCGGCGUGCUUAACACAUGCAAGUCGAACGAAGCAUUUAAGACAGAUUACUUCGGUUUGAAGUCUUUUAUGACUGAGUGGCGGACGGGUGAGUAACGCGUGGGUAACCUGCCUCAUACAGGGGGAUAGCAGCUGGAAACGGCUGGUAAUACCGCAUAAGCGCACGGUAUCGCAUGAUACAGUGUGAAAAACUCCGGUGGUAUGAGAUGGACCCGCGUCUGAUUAGCUGGUUGGUGAGGUAACGGCCCACCAAGGCGACGAUCAGUAGCCGACCUGAGAGGGUGAACGGCCACAUUGGGACUGAGACACGGCCCAAACUCCUACGGGAGGCAGCAGUGGGGAAUAUUGCACAAUGGGGGAAACCCUGAUGCAGCGACGCCGCGUGAGUGAUGAAGUAUUUCGGUAUGUAAAACUCUAUCAGCAGGGAAGAUAAUGACGGUACCUGACUAAGAAGCACCGGCUAAAUACGUG
rnacentral:rRNA from 1 species